UGUGGUGAAUCCCCCUAUGCGGCGGGUCGAACCAGACACCAGUGCGGUAUGCUCGCGCUUCUUUGGUCUGGCAAAGAAGCACCGGGAGGCACCCGGCACCACG
rnacentral:ncRNA from 1 species